rnacentral:rRNA from 1 species
UUGGAGGGCAAGUCUGGUGCCAGCAGCCGCGGUAAUUCCAGCUCCAAUAGCGUAUAUUAAAGUUGCUGCAGUUGAAAAGCUCGUAGUUGAAUUUCGGGUCCAUCAUGUCGGUCGUGCCUCGGUACGUACUGGUAUUGUUGGUUUCUCCCUUCUGACGAACCACGAUGUCAUUUAUUUGGUGUUGUGGGGAAUCAGGACUGUUACUUUGAAAAAAUUAGAGUGUUUAAAGCAGGCUCACGCUUGAAUGCAUUAGCAUGGAAUAAUGAAACAGGACGUUUGAUUCUAUUUUGUUGGUUUCUAGGAUCGACGUAAUGAUUAAUAGGGAUAGUUGGGGGCAUUAGUAUUCAAUUGUCAGAGGUGAAAUUCUUGGAUUUAUUGAAGGCUAACUACUGCGAAAGCAUUUGCCAAGGAUGUUUUCAUUAAUCAAGAACGAAAGUUAGGGGAUCGAAGACGAUCAGAUACCGUCGUAGUCUUAACCAUAAACUAUGCCGACUAGGGAUCGGAUGAUGUUAAUUUUUUAAUGACUCAUUCGGCGCCUUACGGGAAAC